UGGAUUAACAUUUAAUCAGGUUCGGGAACAGUAGACGCAGUGACGCGAAAGUCAAACGCAACCGUGUGAACUGGGUUGGAGGUUGCUUCUACUGUAAGCCUCCCCAGUAGACGACAACGCAUUUUUCCCCAUCACCAUUUCUUCCCCGCGAGGAAGAGGACCAUCUCCAUUUGCGAGUGCAUCAAGAUAUGCAAGCUCCAAUCACAACCGAAGAACUGGCUGCCGUGGAAGCUCCGGUGGAUUCGAGCCGGAGGUUGCAUUUUUCGCCUCCGGCGGCUUUCAAUCAAUUGGAUGGGAAUGCAGAAAUUAUUCCCAGGUUAGCGGUGUCACUCUCACUGCAGCCAGAUUCUGACGGGGGCGCUGCAGAUUCCUCGCCUGGGGCAGCCAAUCGGGCAUGUGAUCCUCUAUUCCUCUCCGUUUGUUGGACGACUCCGAAAUCGAGCUACAUACGCCGCGGGCAGUAUCUCUGGCCGAGCACGGGGUGGUUUCUGUCAUCGCUGGAGAAACAAUAAACAACCAGCUCGUCGGAGAACCGCGGCAUGGGAGACGGAAAUCAGCUAGGGAUGGGCCAAGUGCUCGUAUAGCUCCUAAUGAGGAGAGGGCUAUUUUAUUAGCACUGAAGCGUGGUUGCAAAAAGCCCUGGUGGUACAAUUUUCUAUCCAGAUGAAGGCACAAUCUUCAACAGUUGUGAAGAAGCAAGAGAAUUCUACAACCUCUAUUAAUGGGAAGUUGGAUUUGGUAUUAGGUAUGGUAGAAGUAACAAGAACAUCAAAGGAUACGCAACAAGGCAAGACAUUGUCUGUUCAUGCGAGGGAUUUGACAGACAGUCAAAUGCUGCAUCAGUAAGGACAUGAUGUAAGACAAUGAUAAGACUGCUACGGACCAGUGAUCAUGCUUGGUACAUUAACAGAAUCUGUGAUGUCCACAACCACAAGCUGUCGGAAGGUUUCACGGGAAAAAACAAACAGUGGAAUUCACACAACACCAUUGAUGCAACCCCAAAGCAUUUCGUUCAGAAAUUGAGGGAGAACAAUGUAAGCAUUGGAAGGGUAUGUAGCAUCCUAAAGGUAUCAAAUGCUAACCCUGCUCAGCACAUCAGGAAGGAAACAAUCAGAGCAUUGCGUGCAAAAUUAUCAAGAGAAAAUUUGCAAGAUGAUAUUGGCAAAACACUUAAACUACUCGAUGAGAUGAAACGAAGUGAUCCUCACAUGUUAGUUAGGUUUAAGCUAGAUGGUGAGGGAACCAUACGCUCCAUGUUUUGGUGUACAGGGAAGAACAAGGUGGACUAUGAGCACUUUGGCGAUGCUAUAACAUUCGACACAACUUACAAAACCAACCUAUGCAGCUUGCCUUUUGGUUUCUUUGUGGGUAUUAACAACCAUUUUCAGUCCAUAAUUUUUGGGGGUGUAAUGCUGACCAGCGAGACCACAGAAGAAUGUUAGUGGGCAUUCACAAAUUUUGUAGAAGUGAUGGUCAUUCUGCCCCACGGACAAUGCUCAUAGAUCAAUGUGCAGCCAUGGCAAAGGUAUAAGGGCGGUGCUGCCUAACACAAUGCAUCGAUGGUGCAGAUGGCAUGUUUUCAAAAGUGCAAA